rnacentral:tRNA from 1 species
GAACUUGGUUGGUAGAGCAUGAGAUUUUUAAUCUCAGGGUUGUGGGUUUGAGUCCCAUGCU